rnacentral:rRNA from 1 species
AGUGAACGCUGGCGGUAGGCCUAACACAUGCAAGUCGAACGGCAGCACAGUAAGAGCUUGCUCUUACGGGUGGCGAGUGGCGGACGGGUGAGGAAUACAUCGGAAUCUACUUUUUCGUGGGGGAUAACGUAGGGAGACUUACGCUAAUACCGCAUACGCCCUACGGGUGAAAGCAGGGGAUCUUCGGACCUUGCGCGAUUGAAUGAGCCGAUGUCGGAUUAGCUAGUUGGCGGGUUAAAGGCCCACCAAGGCGACGAUCCGUAGCUGGUCUGAGAGGAUGAUCAGCCACACUGGAACGUAGACGCGGUCCAGACUCCUACGGGAGGGAGCAGUGGGGAAUAUUGGACAAUGGGCGCAAGCCUGAUCCAGCCAUACCGCGUGGGUGAAGAAGGCCUUCGGGUUGUAAAGCCCUUUUGUUGGGAAAGAAAAGCAGCAGGUUAAUACCCCGCUGUUCUGACGGUACCCAAAGAAUAAGCACCGGCUAACUUCGUG